UAUAUACGCGACACAACCAUAAACAAUGGCGGACUCCGUGUGUUUACUGCUGUGAGUUUUUAAGAGAAAUCUGUUGGCGGCGAGACGAAACACGCUUGAAAAAUACAGAAGAUUUUGGGAAUUCAUAUAACGAUAUGAAGACGAAGGCGAGAAGAUACAAGCUGCAAAAGAGACGAAGCAUGACGAUUCCUCAAAUACCACACUGACUGCACCAACCUGGUGCUUGAUGACCAAGAUCUCCACACGGACGCCAAACAUUACAUCGAGUACAUUGAUGAUCUUAGGACACAGCUGAGCAAGGGGGUCAGCAAGAAGAUCGUUGCGAAGCAGGAUAGAUUCCUCCAGAAGGACGCUGGCAUGACUCCCCGUGACUGCUGUAAUAUCCCUGUUGCAGACACUGUGCUGAAAGCAUGGAAACCCAGCAGCAGCAUGGAAGACAUGCCUACUUCAAAACACAUCUGGCGCCUGUGACUACCAUGGCCAGGUAGUUACAGGUGCAGAGGGGGAGGAGAUCAUAAAAACACCACUGAAGAAGAGACUGCUUUCAUGUUCUUCUACACCAAGGACGAUCAGCGGAUGUGCUUCAACAUGUACAUGCCACCCUGACCAGCAGACUUUUGGGAGGAUGAUCAGUCAUUCCAGGAAGAAGGCAAACGUCAGACCUCGGCUGUACACGCUGGACUUGAAUGGAAAUGAGAGAGACGUCCUGCUCUUCCUGGCUGUGAGAGACAUCAGGGAUGGUGAAGAAAUUCUUUUUGAUCAUGGAGUCAAGAGACAUUCUUUCUGUGGGGAAGGCCUGCAGUUGGACUGGAUUUGACAUUCCUUCUCCCUCCUCUUAACAGUGGGGCCCCUGUUCGCGUGCAAGACACUGAUUCCCCCCCCCAAUAUGGACACUGAUUUUAGUGUUGCACAUCAUUGUGUGGAAUAAGAACAUAUUUGUAUACAGUGAGGGCAUAUUUUUUUUUGGGGGGGGGGGGUGCAAUGCUUUUGUAACAUGGCUUUAAUUAUAUAACCUGUGCUAUAAAAAUUCAUACAAUGUGGGUGGUUUCCUGUAAUCAGUCUUACUAAACUGUAUCCAUCAGUCAAGACUGGAGGAUAAUUCCCAGAGUGACCAGUUUUCAGUCCUGUCAGGCAAAGGGAGUCAGUGGGUUUUUUAGGGACCCUUAGGACAGUAGUAAAGUGAGAAUUAAAAAAUGGUGUUUCUGUAAUUGUACAUGCAGAUUCUCAGGCCUUCUGCCAUGAAGCUCCACAAUUAAAACCCAAUAUAUGGGAAUUGCUCCAUUCUCAUGCUGACCGAACUGUGUAAUAAUUUUUUGCCGAGUGACUCAGGGACGGACAAACAGCUAUUUAUAAGGAGAGACUGUAAUGCUGGUUCUUUUGGGAUUGGUGUUACCACUGACGACUUUGACGAAUGUACUGUGUGUGUGUGUUCAGGGUGAAAAACAAGGUUGAAACAAAAAAACUCAUUAAAUCUUUGGACACACAAAGCUCCUUAAAGCAGACUGUUUCCCUCAGAAAAUAACCUAUAAAAUGAUGAAAUAUGAGUUUUCUGGACCUGCAGGAUGCUGCAUACAUGUUUAACCAAAAUGUGUUGGGAACACUGUUUAUAUAAAAUCAGAUUCAGCGAGUAAGACAUGCAUUUGGUGGCUCUUAGGUGCCCGGCCUUCAUUGGAAAUGUCAGAGGUCACAAUCAAUCUAUGGCAGUUUAUAAGAGACAUGCCCACAGUAGCGUACUGAGCUAUCAAUUAUUCGAUGCAUCACAAUGCGGAUGUUGAACCAUUCUGAGCCGAUUAACAAACUUCAAAAAUGAAUUUCUAAAUGUUUAUCGCAGGGGUCGGAACGUGGCUACUGACCACCGUAAAGAACUUUUCUCAUUCCUUAUGCAAGCCUGGAUUUCUACUUUUACUCGUCAUAUUUUGACCCAGUAGUGUACUUUUUUUAUUGAAGAACAUUUACGAUAUGUCUUCAUUGUAGCCAGUCUGCUCCAAAGGCUGGGGGAGGCAGACAGUGUGAUGCUGAGCAAAGAGAAAACCAUGUGUUUUUGAAUUAUGAUAAAUCUGACUCACCACAGAACAAGAAGCACUGAGAUGCAACUUCGAGCUACAUCUGAACAGUUCUUACUUCAAAAAUCAGGAAAAAAAAAAAAAUCGGUCACAUGACUAAAUUUCUGCUUUAUCAUGGGUGAUUAGCUAAAAUAA